ensembl:lncRNA
GAGAGGCUGAGAGAGCUGGGGCUUUUCAGCCUAGAGAAGAGAAGGCUGUAAGGAGACCUUUUAGUGGCCUUCCAGUAACUGAAGGGGGCCUACAGGAAAGCUGGGGAGGAAUUUUUUAUAAGGCCAGGUAGCAACAGGAUGAGGGGAAAUGGUUUUAAACUGGAAGAGGGUAGAUUUAGACUAGAUAUUAUGAAGAAAUUCUUUACUGUGAGGGUAUUGAGACACUGAAACAGCCUUUCCAGAGAGGUUGUGGAUGCCCCCUUCCUGGAAGCAUUCAAGGCCAGGCUGGAUGGUGCUUUGAGCAACCUGGUCUAGAAGGAGGUGUCCCUGUCUGUAGGUGAUCUUAAUGAUCCCUUCCAAACCAAACCAUUCCGUGAUUCUAUACUGCCUUUUUUUGAAAGUCUUUUACAGUUUCUUCCUUCCUUAUGGUCACAGUAAUUAUUGAUCUUUGAUUAUCUAUGUCUGCAGCACCUUCUGAGAUAAUGUAUUCUCAUUUUACAAUUACAGAAAUAAGAACCAGAGCCUCAGAACACUGAGGAAACUGGUGAUCCAACAACACUUACUGAAAGGAAAUGUCCCACCAACUGUUCCUCUCUUUUCUCAGUUCCUUGUGGCAUCCCAUCUUAAUAGCCUGAAACUUGUACCUAUUCUAUUAAACACGAAGAAGUAUUUGGGUUGGCAGAAGGUUAAAUUCUAGUCUCUUCAGCUAACCUAUGACUUCUGUGUGACUGAUUCUCCAUUUAUUAUCACUGGUAUGAGUUCAGGUCUCGAAAUAACUAUAUGUGGAUAAUGCUGACAAAAUUAAAGAGUAAGGCCCACAGAUUUUUAGAUGCUCUUCUGAAUGGAUGAACAACAAAAAUAACAAGCAAACAAACAAAAAAUCACCCCAAACACCAGUUACCUUUGUUGUUAUCACACAGAAAAAAUAAUAUCCAUUAUGAAGUAUCUAUUCUGAUUGAGGAAUUCAGUUUUGAGUCCUACGUGGGAUGAGGUAACCCCAUUGAAGAAAUUAGUACUAUUGCCAAGAAAAAGUAGAAUACGAAGAGAAAACAGUUAAUGAUGAAAUUAAUGAUAAUACUAGCAAUGACAAUAUUAGUAGCACCUUCAGUUUUAGUAAGGGACAAAUAAACUUAAGUAGACACACAGUUUAAAGCAAAGGAUGUUCUACAGUAUAUUUUGUUGAUGGUGGUAUAUCACUCUAGGAGGUGCUAAAUCUGGUUUUAAAGUGACUGAAAAUAAGAAAAGGAAUAUGCAUCAGAAUCUGUCCUCAUUAAAAACUGUGUUACUUCUCUGACUUUAGCAAAAGCAGAAUAUUGGUUUCUAAAAGCAGAUUUUAGCCUCACAGAUGACUCUGAUCAUAUACUUAUACAGUGCUAUAAAUUGCUAAUGGGCUUGUGGAUUCUGUGAAGCAGGAAGGAAUUGGUUGGAAAAGUGCUAUUUUCAAUAGAGCUUUUGAAAAAGGAAACAAGGGAACAUAAUCAGAAGUCUUGCAGAAAUCCAAGGUCACGGGCAGGGAGAAGAACAUCAAGGAAGAAAAUGAGAAAGAAAAGUUAGAAGGGCAAGAAGUGGGGACUAGCUGAGGAGCAGUUAACAAUGAUGAUAGAAAUGAAAAAGUAAGCACAAAAUAUUAAUAAUGUGGCAGGGACUUUAGAUGUCCCUACCUACAUGCCUAAGUCAUUUUGCCAGUGUUCCCUUUCGUGAUGUUUAUCUGGGACCAGCCUUCCAUAGUUGUUCAGAGCUCAGCACAACAGGGGUCUGCUCUCUGUCCUCUUAGAUGUCUAAGCAUCAUCAUCACGCAACUAAUUAGCAGCAGUAAUAAAUGAUACUGUUCUGCCUCUUAAUCCUCCACAUUAUGAUUUCUGUGGGUUGCAUUAAAA